UGAGUACGAGCUGCUACGGCAGCGAAGUGGGUGAUGUCAAGCUUCCAAGAAAAGCCCUAUACCCGUUAAGGCAUGAUGGCCUGUACCCGAAACCGACACAGGUGGGGUGGUAGAGAAUACCGAGGGGCGCGAGGAAACUCUCUCUAAGGAACUCGGCAAAAUGGCCCCGUAACUUCGGGAGAAGGGGUGCCACCGCAAGGUGGUCGCAGUGAAGAGGCCCAGGCGACUGUUUACCAAAAACACAGGUCUCCGCUAAGUCGCAAGACGAUGUAUGGGGGCUGACGCCUGCCCAGUGCCGGAAGGUUAAGGAAGCUGGUCAGCGCAAGCGAAGCUGGCGACUGAAGCCCCGGUGAACGGCGGCCGUAACUAUAACGGUCCUAAGGUAGCGAAAUUCCUUGUCGGGUAAGUUCCGACCCGCACGAAAGGCGUAACGAUCUGGGCGCUGUCUCGGAGAGAGGCUCGGCGAAAUAGAAUUGUCUGUGAAGAUGCGGACUACGUGCACCCGGACAGAAAGACCCUAUGAAGCUUUACUGUAGCUUGGUAUUGUGCCCGGGCUCUGAAUGCGCAGGAUAGGUGGGAGGCUUUGAUCCAUUGCUUGUGGGUAAUGGUGAGCCAACGGUGAGAUACCACUCUUUCAGAGCUAGGGUUCUAACGGUCACCCGUUAUCCGGGGACCGGACAGUAUCAGGUGGGCAGUUUGACUGGGGCGGUCGCCUCCUAAAAGGUAACGGAGGCGCGCAAAGGUUCCCUCAGGCUGGUUGGAAAUCAGCCGACGAGUGUAAAGGCAGAAGGGAGCUUGACUGUGAGACCUACAAGUCGAACAGGGACGAAAGUCGGCCUUAGUGAUCCGACGGUUCUGAGUGGAAGGGCCGUCGCUCAACGGAUAAAAGUUACUCUAGGAUAACAGGCUGAUCUCCCCCAAGAGUUCACAUCGACGGGGAGGUUUGGCACCUCGAUGUCGGCUCAUCGCAACCUGGGGCUGAAGUCGGUCCCAAGGGUUGGGCUGUUCGCCCAUUAAAGCGGUACGCGAGCUGGGUUCAGAACGUCGUGAGACAGUUCGGUCCAUAUCCGGUGCAUGCGCAGGAAUAUUGAGAGGAUUUCUCCCUAGUACGAGAGGACCGGGAGGAACGCACCUCUGGUGUGCCAGUUAUCGUGCCAACGGUAAACGCUGGGUAGCCAUGUGCGGAGAGGAUAACCGCUGAAAGCAUCUAAGUGGGAAGCCCACCUCAAGAUGAGUAUUCCCAUGGCGUUAGCCAGUAAGGUCACGGGCAGAACACCCGUUGAUAGGCUCUACGUGGAAGCCGGGCAACCGGUGAAGCGGAGGAGUACUAAUAGACCGAGGGCUUGACC
rnacentral:rRNA from 1 species